AAACACCCCUAUGUCAUUUUGCGGACUCAAAGCUAAACUAAAAGGGAAAAAAAUGAUACUUUAACCUUUUUUGUAAGGCCGUAUUUAAUCUUAACAUUUGGGAACAAAGAAGCGAGAAGAGCGAUGCCUUUCCAGCGCCGCCGCCGGCGGUUUGCCGAUUCUUCUUUCGCAAUCGGAAUGGAUUUCUACAGGGGUUGUAUGAGAGGAGGAGAUUAGGGUCUUCUGGGAGGACUGCUUAUCAAUUGAACGUAGAGACAACGUGGUUCCAAAAGGAUCUUGCAAAUGUACAAGAUACCAAAAGUUUGCCUACAAUGAAGAAAAACACACACACAUUGCCCAUUGCCCUUUUAUUGCUGUCAACUCAUUGGUGAUCAUGAAGUUGAUUCCUUUCAGUUUUCUUGAUCUUCUUCCUUUAGGCAAGGCAUGGAAUGUGUGAGUGCCUGAGGUUGAUAUCUCAUAAGACAGUACCUCGCACAGGUCUAUACACACAGAUGCCAAGGGUAUCGCCGGAGCUGUUAGAUUUUGGUUGGUUGUUCAGCUGUGACGAGAUUGUUGUUAAGCUGAUUUAAGCCAAAGCUUCUGAUGGGUUUUUGGUCUAUUGCAUCUGUUGUUGACCAUUUCUUUGAGAAAGAAUGAUACAGAAUAAUUUCAUUUUCUUUCUAGGCAGCAGAAAAUCCAUGAAAUUUUCCAUCUCAUGUUUCUGUUGUCUCUCUUUGUUAUAAAGUUCAGAUCAUUUUUAAGCCUAAUGUUUUUCUUAAUAUGAAUCUUUCUAUACAAGUUUCCACUACUUGGUAUGAUACUUAAUAGUUGGCUUGCAACUAAACCACUUUUAAUUUUUCUUUAGUAUUGUAGUAGGAGAUGUAAUCUUCAAGAAAGACUGGUUUACCCCUAGAGAAGAGAUUACCAUACGUUUUCUUGGUUGAGAUAA